AUUGAACGCUGGCGGCAUGCCUUACACAUGCAAGUCGAACGGCAGCACGGGUGCUUGCACCUGGUGGCGAGUGGCGAACGGGUGAGUAAUAUAUCGGAACGUACCUUAUUGUGGGGGAUAACGCAGCGAAAGCUGUGCUAAUACCGCAUAAUCCCUAGGGGGGAAAGCGGGGGACCGUAAGGCCUCGCGCAAUUAGAGCGGCCGAUACCUGAUUAGCUAGUUGGUGAGGUAAAGGCUCACCAAGGCAACGAUCAGUAGCUGGUCUGAGAGGACGAUCAGCCACACUGGGACUGAGACACGGCCCAGACUCCUACGGGAGGCAGCAGUGGGGAAUUUUGGACAAUGGGGGCAACCCUGAUCUAGCAAUGCCGCGUGAGUGAAGAAGGCCUUCGGGUUGUAAAGCUCUUUUGUCAGGGAAGAAACAGCAGCUCUAACACAGUAUGCGAAUGACGGUACCUGAAGAAUAAGCACCGGCUAACUACGUGCCAGCCGCCGCCGUAA
rnacentral:rRNA from 1 species